GGCAGGGCGACAUUGGGAAAGUGAGGUGUCUCUGUCUGAUCUGAAGACCGGCGUCUCACAGAGUCCUGUCCUGCCACUGAACUCCCUUCAGGUGCCAAUUCAUCAGAAGCUGAAACGAGACAAUGAGAUGUAUCUGUGUUUUCCAUGGGUCGAGUAUUGCAGAUGUGCUCUCCCUGCAACUACUGAAAGCCAGCUUUUGCUCAGAAGGCUGCAGUGGGCACGAUAACCAGAACCUUCUGCACUUCUCAGCGUCAGACUCACCGUGAGGAAAUUCUCAUCCCCAAGGCAAAGUUGGCCACUCUUUGAGCAUGGCUUCCAAUAGGCACCGGUACGCCCCCCACCACCAUUGACAGAAGGCCCGUAUUAAAGCUGGUAGUUACCGGAUGAGGCGCAUGAGGAAAGGGGUGAGAAGAAAAAUGAUUCCACAAAAACCACGAGAGCCCAAAGGCCUUUCUGCUUCUGCCAGAAACAAGUUCCGGAGAAGACAAAGCUCCUGAUUCACGUGCUCUCUGGGAACCAAAUCGGACUGUGCCUUGGAGAGAAGGAGCCAGAAGCCAUUCAGCCAGCAGACCUUCACUGAGUGCCUGCUGUGGGCCAGUCAUCAUGUGGGGAGAAUCACGUAACAGGAAGCAGACAGGACCUGGGCCCUUGAGCUCCCAGGCCAGUGGAGGAGACGUGAGAGUUCUCGAACACCUGGUAAGCUGUGAUGAGAGGCACGGCAGGACAGAAAUGGGUUGGGUGGGCACUGGCAGACAGAGAAGCCCUUGGCAGGUAGGCUGAGGCAGAGCCUGAA